rnacentral:rRNA from 1 species
AACGAACGCUGGCGGCGCGCUUAACACAUGCAAGUCGAGCGCUCUGGGGGCAACUCCAGGGAGCGGCGGACGGGUGCGUAACACGUGGGUAAUCUGCCCGGGAGUGUGGGAUAACUCGCCGAAAGGCGAGCUAAUACCGCAUGAGCUCACGGCCUCCUCGGAGGCUGAGAGAAAAGGAGCAAUUCGCUCCCGGAUGAGCCCGCGGCCCAUCAGCUAGUUGGCGGGGUAACGGCCCACCAAGGCGAAGACGGGUAGCUGGUCUGAGAGGACGGCCAGC